GGGCUGGGGCUCAGCGGUAGAGCAUUCGCCUAGCAUGUGCGAGGCCCUGGGUUCCAUUCUCAGCACCACA
rnacentral:tRNA from 1 species